rnacentral:lncRNA from 1 species
UUCAUUGGAGCGGAAAAGGGAAGCCAUGGUUGAGACUAGAUUCAAGGAAGCCUUGUAUCGUUGAUCAUCUAUGGGCUCCGUAUGAUCUGUACCGUUCAUCAAGACAUUCAUUAGAAGAGUAGAGGCAAAAAGAAAACAAACAUAAAGAAGAUUGGCACAUAUAUAUAUAUAUAUAUAUAUAUAUAUAUAUAUAAUAGGAGAGGAGAGGAUCCAAAGCAAAGCAGGGUUUUUUUUUUUUAGCGAUCAAAGAGAGCGAAAGUUUUCAUUUUGGAAAUCCAAACAAGUGUAGCAAAAAGAAAGAACUAAUUUUUUUUUCUUCAACACACACUCUUAAUGCAAAAAGACGUUGUGCAUUGAGCUCAGUAGUGUUUAUCACAAGAGAUGGUAUCAAUCAUCAUCAUUUUUUUUGUUCUUCUUUUUCUCCCUCUCUUUGAUUCAACCCAUAGAAUAUUCCGCGUGUAAUAUAAUAGGUAGUAUUCCUGCAAAAAUGGCGGAUUAAAUUCAUUAUUUUUUCAAUUAAAAUUUCUACGAUCCGGCACAGAAACUAGCGAAACCCGUCUAAAUUCCCAACUACAGAGAGUGAUCCAAGUCACCAUAGCUACUAAAGCAUUGAUUUUUUUACAGAAGAAACCAUGAGAAUGCAGAAGUUUUUACCAGGAUAAGUAGAUGAACGUCUCGAUUCUGCAGAAUUCUCCGAUCAGCAAAGGGAGCAAUUGUAUAAGAUUCGAUUCGAGCUUAAUUGAAAUCCUGAAGAACAAAAAAAAAUCGAAUUAUUUAUGGCUCAUUUUGUUUCUUCACUGAUAUAAACCUUCUCUUUGCGGUGGCAGCUUUCUUUCAUUUUGUCCUCUUCUGUUCUUCUGUAUACGGAGGAAGUUUAUAAAAUUCAAUUUGGUCUAAC